GUGUCGUUGGGCCGAGUGGUUAAGGCGACAGACUUGAAAUUUGUUGGGCUCAGCCCGCACAGGUUCG
rnacentral:tRNA from 1 species